AAACGUUGAGCGCAAGUAGUAGAAAUAAAGGAAUGCGUAGAAACGGUAUCAAAUAAAGUAUAAACUUCACUAGAGUUUAUGAUUAGCUUACCCAUGAUCACCUCGUUCGGAUUCCUCACUUUUUGGGAGGUUACGACAAACGCUCUCCCUUGAACUACCGGUUUUAUCUUGUCUGGGACACCCUUUGAUGCCUCCAUCCCAGCUAGACUAUACUUUGGUGCAUGACAAAAUCAGGCUAGGUGACCUUCUUUUCCACAAUUAUAACACGCUUU
rnacentral:lncRNA from 1 species